rnacentral:rRNA from 1 species
CCUACGGGUGGCAGCAGUGAGGAAUAUUGGUCAAUGGGCGCGAGCCUGAACCAGCCAAGUAGCGUGAAGGAUGACUGCUCUACGGGUUGUAAACUUCUUUUAUAAAGGAAUAAAGUGCGGCACGUGUGUCUUUUUGUAUGUACUUUAUGAAUAAGGAUCGGCGAACUCCGUGCCAGCAGCCGCGGUAAUACGGAGGGUCCGAGCGUUAUCCGGGUUUAUUGGGUUUAAAGGGAGCGUAGAUGGGUGGUUAAGUCAGUCGUGAAAGUUUGCGGCUCAACCGUAAAAUUGCAAUUGAUACUGGCAGCCUUGAGUACAGUUGAGGUAGGCGGAAUUCGUGGUGUAGCGGUGAAAUGCUUAGAUAUCACGAAGAACUCCGAUUGCGAAGGCAGCUUACUAAACUGCCACUGACAUUGAGGCUCGAAAGUGUGGGGAUCAAACAGGAUUAGAUACCCGGGUAGUC